rnacentral:lncRNA from 13 species
CUCCAUACAUGUAUAGAUAGAGCUUUGGAGUCCGAUUCUUCUGAUGAUCCAGAAGGAAAGAAAUAUCCAGCAGAUGAUAGAGCUUUGGAGUCCAACCCUUCUGAUGAUCCAGAAGGAAAGAAAUAUCCAGCAGAUGAUAGGGCUUUGGAGUCCAACCCUUCUGAAACAAGGAAAUCCCAAACAGGUAGUGAGACAACAUUGUUUUUUCUGCCAAGACAAAGAGUGAAAAAUCCUGUUUGAUCAGAUGUAUUAUAAAAACUUUUUAGAAAAACUCAUAUUAUCUGACAUAAUCGGAGGUCUUUUCUCCUUCCUGGAUUUUCCCUCUGGGGUCUUACUUUCACACACUCUCUCGUGGAAGCUUUCUCUCUUCUCUGUUUCUCUCUCUCUCUGUCUCUCUCUCUCAAUAAAACAUUUUGUUUAAAUAAACA